rnacentral:rRNA from 1 species
GGKHCUGCGGAAGGAUCAUUGUCGAACCCUGCAUAGCAGAAUGACCCGUGAACAAGUUAACACAUCUGGCCUUGCCGGGACCGAAGCAUUUGUUUCGGCCCUUGUGAGUCCUUGUCGACGUGUGUUCAUGCAUGGACCAUACCUUUGGUUUGUCAUGGAUGUCAUGUUGACAAAAUAACAAACCCCCGGCACGAGAUGUGCCAAGGAAAACCAAAAUUAAAGAACCCGUGCUGUUGCGCCCCGUUCGCGGUGUGCGCGCUGUUCGUGGCGUCUUUGUAAACUUAAAACGACUCUCGGCAACGGAUAUCUCGGCUCACGCAUCGAUGAAGAACGUAGCAAAAUGCGAUACUUGGUGUGAAUUGCAGAAUCCCGUGAACCAUCGAGUUUUUGAACGCAAGUUGCGCCCGAAGCCAUCCGGUUGAGGGCACGUCUGCCUGGGCGUCACGCAUCACGUCGCCCCCACCAGGCAUCCCCUAUAGGGCUGUCUUUUGUUGGGGCGGAGAUUGGUCUCCCAUGCCCAUGGCGUGGUUGGCCUAAAUAGGAGUCUCCUCACGAGGGACGCACGGCUAGUGGUGGUUGAUAAGACAGUCGUCUCGUGUCGUGCGUUUACUUUCUUGAGAGUAGAUGCUCUUAAAGUACCCCGAUGUGUUGUCUUAUGACGAUGCUUCGAUCGCGACCCCAGGUCAGGCGGGACUACCCGCUGAGUUUAAGCAUAUCAUAA